CACGGGGGGAGCAAGCGUUGUUCGGAAUCACUGGGCGUAAAGGGAGUCUAGGCGGGCAGGUAAGUGGAAUGUGAAAUCCCUCGGCUCACCCGAGGACCUGCAUCCCAAACUGCCUGGCUUGAGUAUGGGAGAGGAUGAGGGAAUUCCUGGUGUAGCGGUGAAAUGCGUAGAUAUCAGGAGGAACACCGGUGGCGAAGGCGCUCAUCUGGCCCAAUACUGACGCUGAAGCUCGAAAGCUAGGGGAGCAAACGGG
rnacentral:rRNA from 1 species